CUUAGCAGCAAGCAUGGGCUCUCCACUGCCCCUCCUGCCCCUGCUGCCGGUGCUGCUCGUCCCGUGGCUCCAGCCAGGAAAUGGACAGAUUGCCGGCAUGGUCCAGCUGCCAGGUGGGAAGUUUCAGAUGGGCACAAAUUCUCCAGACGCCCGAGAUGGUGAGGGGCCUGCCCGGGUGGUGACAGUUAAACCCUUUGCCAUCGACAUAUUUCCUGUCACCAACAAAGACUUCAGGGAGUUCGUCAGGGCGAGCAAAUACCGGACGGAGGCGGAGUCCUUCGGGUGGAGCUUUGUCUUCGAGGACUUGGUCUCUGAUGAACUGAAGAAGAAAGCCACCCACCAGAGGCAGUCUCUCCUCUGGUGGUUUCCUGUGGACCAGGCAUUUUGGAGGCAGCCUGCAGGUCCCGGCUCCGGCAUCCGAGAGAAACUGGAGCUGCCUGUGCUCCAUGUGAGCUGGAACGACGCCCGUGCCUACUGUGCGUGGCGCGGGAAGCGGCUGCCCACCGAGGAGGAGUGGGAGUUCGCCGCACGAGGGGGCCUACAGGGUCAAGUCUACCCCUGGGGGAAUCAGUUCCAGCCCAACCGCACCAACCUGUGGCAGGGAGCAUUUCCCAAAGGUGACCGGGCUGAGGAUGGCUUCCACGGGGCCUCCCCGGUGAACGCGUUCCCCCCACAGAACAGCUACGGCCUCCAUGACCUCAUGGGCAAUGUGUGGGAGUGGACAGCCUCGAGCUACCAGUCUGGCAAGCAGGACAUGCGCGUACUCCGGGGGGCAUCCUGGAUUGACACCGCCGAUGGCUCAGCCAACCACCGAGCUCGGGUCACCACCAGUGAAAAUGCCAACACGAAGUCAGGGAUGUCACCUGCCUUGUGCACCACUGGAUCCUCCAAGCCUGGAAUAAUGACUGUGGGACCCACGCUUGUCCUUGGUCGCUGCCCUCAGGCUGACCCUGACUCAUGGUGACCCCACACACCACGGAAGGAAAUGAUGCCCAGUCCCGUGUCAUCCCCAUGAUCAGUUGUGGGUCGGACUGUGAAAAGCCAUCAGGUGGAUGCGAAUUUCACACCAAGGACAAUGAUUUAAAGACACACUGCCACAUAAAAUGACUACAUGCAGAGUGAGGACAUGAGGAUCAGCACUCUUAGGCUGACAGGAAAAAGGUGAUCACCGUGGCACAUUCAAGACAGCCCUGAGCUUCAGAGUUCCCAUGAGAGAUUUAAUUAGCGGCUCUCUUAAAGGAGACGCAUAGGCCUGCCAAGAGCAUUUUAUGCCCCAUGACCCAACCCUCUCACUUUUCUGACUUCUCCCCCCUUCUUGUUAACAUAAACUUACUCCCUCCCCAAGCAUUACAAGUCUAAUUAAAAAUCUUCUGGAUGGUAA